CCUACUUUCUUCCUCCGUGGGGAAUAUUGGACAAUGGGGGCAACCCUGAUCCAGCCAUGCCGCGAGUGUGAAGAAGGCCCUCGGGUUGUAAAGCACUUUCAGUGAGGAAGAACGCCUGGUGGUUAAUACCCAUCAGGAAAGACAUCACUCACAGAAGAAGCACCGGCUAACUCCGUGCCAGCAGCCGCGGUAAUACGGAGGGUGCGAGCGUUAAUCGGAAUUACUGGGCGUAAAGCGCGCGUAGGUGGCUUGAUAAGCCGGUUGUGAAAGCCCCGGGCUCAACCUGGGAACGGCAUCCGGAACUGUCAAGCUAGAGUGCAGGAGAGGAAGGUAGAAUUCCCGGUGUAGCGGUGAAAUGCGUAGAGAUCGGGAGGAAUACCAGUGGCGAAGGCGGCCUUCUGGACUGACACUGACACUGAGGUGCGAAAGCGUGGGUAGCAAACAGGAUUAGAUACCCCGGUAGUC
rnacentral:rRNA from 1 species